GACGAACGCUGGCGGUGUGAUUAACACAUGCAAGUCGAACGGAAAGGCCCUGCUUUUGUGGGGUGCUCGAGUGGCGAACGGGUGAGUAACACGUGAGUAACCUGCCCUUGACUUUGGGAUAACUUCAGGAAACUGGGGCUAAUACCGGAUAGGAGCUCCUGCUGCAUGGUGGGGGUUGGAAAGUUUCGGCGGUUGGGGAUGGACUCGCGGCUUAUCAGCUUGUUGGUGGGGUAGUGGCUUACCAAGGCUUUGACGGGUAGCCGGCCUGAGAGGGUGACCGGCCACAUUGGGACUGAGAUACGGCCCAGACUCCUACGGGAGGCAGCAGUGGGGAAUAUUGCACAAUGGGCGGAAGCCUGAUGCAGCAACGCCGCGUGCGGGAUGACGGCCUUCGGGUUGUAAACCGCUUUCGCCUGUGACGAAGCGUGAGUGACGGUAAUGGGUAAAGAAGCACCGGCUAACUACGUG
rnacentral:rRNA from 1 species